rfam:Cricetulus griseus cell line CHO-K1, whole genome shotgun sequence.
GGGGAUAUAGCUCAGAGGUAGAGCACUUGCUUAGUAUGCAGAAGUCUCUGGGUUUCACCCCCAGUGCCA